UACGGGGGGAGCAAGCGUUGUUCGGAUUUACUGGGCGUAAAGGGCGCGUAGGCGGCCAGCACAAGUCAGUUGUGAAAUCUCCGAGCUUAACUCGGAAAGGUCAACUGAUACUGUGCGGCUAGAGUGCGGAAGGGGCAACUGGAAUUCUUGGUGUAGCGGUGAAAUGCGCAGAUAUCAAGAGGAACACCUGCGGCGAAGGCGGGUUGCUGGGCCGACACUGACGCUGAGGCGCGAAAGCCAGGGGAGCGAACGGG
rnacentral:rRNA from 1 species